rnacentral:rRNA from 3 species
GACUAAGCGUACACGGUGGAUGCCCUGGCAGUCAGAGGCGAUGAAGGACGUGCUAAUCUGCGAAAAGCGUCGGUAAGGUGAUAUGAACCGUUACAGCCGGCGAUGUCCGAAUGGGGAAACCCAGUGCAAUUCGUUGCACUAUCGUUAACUGAAUACAUAGGUUAACGAGGCGAACCGGGGGAACUGAAACAUCUAAGUACCCCGAGGAAAAGAAAUCAACC